GAUGAACGCUGGCGGCGUGCCUAAUACAUGCAAGUCGAGCGAACGGACAAGAAGCUUGCUUCUCUGAUGUUAGCGGCGGACGGGUGAGUAACACGUGGAUAACCUACCUAUAAGACUGGGAUAACUUCGGGAAACCGGAACUAAUACCGGAUGAUAUUUUGAACCGCAUGGUUCAAAAGUGAAAGACGGUCUUGCUGUCACUUAUAGAUGGAUCCGCGCUGCAUUAGCUAGUUGGUAAGGUAACGGCUUACCAAGGCAACGAUGCAUAGCCGACCUGAGAGGGUGAUCGGCCACACUGGAACUGAGACACGGUCCAGACUCCUACGGGAGGCAGCAGUAGGGAAUCUUCCGCAAUGGGCGAAAGCCUGACGGAGCAACGCCGCGUGAGUGAUGAAGGUCUUCGGAUCGUAAAACUCUGUUAUUAGGGAAGAACAUAUGUGUAAGUAACUGUGCACAUCUUGACGGUACCUAAUCAGAAAGCCACGGCUAACUACGUG
rnacentral:rRNA from 1 species